CAAGCCGAAGGUACUUAAAACAUCGCGAACUAUCCCAUGUGACAUACGCGGCGGGUUGCCCUCACGGCGGACGCAGCCCCGCUCUCCGGGUAAACGGGACAGCCGCCAGAGGUACCCGAAACUCUGUAUUCUAUAGUGGUACUUCUGAGUAUAAACCAUAAUAAGUCA
rnacentral:misc_RNA from 1 species